GCCGGGCGUUGUGGUGGGCACCUGUGGUCCCAGCUACUUGGGAGGUGGAGGCAGGAAACUCACUUGAGCCCAGGAGUUGGAGGUUGCUGUGAGCUGGGAUGCCACAGCACUCUACCCAGGGUGAUGGCUCAAGGCUCUGUCUCAAAAAAAUAAAAUAAAAAAUAAAGACAGAGUCUCACUUUAUUGCCCUUGGUAGAGUGCCGUGGCGUCACAGCUCACAGCAACCUCCAACUCCUGAGCUUAGGUGAUUCUCUUGCCU
rnacentral:sRNA from 1 species